UGCUCGGUGGUGUAGUGGUAGAGCACGCGUCCCCGGAUAGGAUAAAGCGCGGGUUCGAUUCCCGACUCAAGCCG